rnacentral:rRNA from 1 species
CCUACGGGUGGCAGCAGUCGAGAAUCAUUCACAAUGGGGGAAACCCUGAUGGUGCGACGCCGCGUGGGGGAAUGAAGGUCUUCGGAUUGUAAACCCCUGUCAUGUGGGAGCAAAUUAAAAAGAUAGUACCACAAGAGGAAGAGACGGCUAACUCUGUGCCAGCAGCCGCGGUAAUACAGAGGUCUCAAGCGUUGUGCGGAAUCACUGGGCGUAAAGCGUGCGUAGGCUGUUUCGUAAGUCGUGUGUGAAAGGUGCGGGCUCAACCCGCGGACGGCACAUGAUACUGCGAGACUAGAGUAAUGGAGGGGGAACCGGAAUUCUCGGUGUAGCAGUGAAAUGCGUAGAUAUCGAGAGGAACACUCGUGGCGAAGGCGGGUUCCUGGACAUUAACUGACGCUGAGGCACGAAGGCCAGGGGAGCGAAAGGGAUUAGAUACCCCUGUAGUC